rnacentral:rRNA from 1 species
GGUUGAUCCUGCCAGUUGUCAUAUGCUUGUCUCAAAGAUUAAGCCAUGCAUGUCUAAGUAUAAACAUUUGUACUGUGAAACUGCGGACGGCUCAUUAAAUCAGUUAUAGUUUAUUUGAUAGUAACUACUACUUGGAUAACCGUGGUAAUUCUAGAGCUAAUACAUGCACUGAAAUCCCGACUUCUGGAAGGGAUGUAUUUAUUAGAUAAAAAACCAACCCGGGCAACCGGUUCUUUGGUGAUUCAUGAUAACUUUUCGAAUCGCAUGGCUUUAUGCUGGCGAUGUUUCAUUCA